rnacentral:lncRNA from 1 species
AGUAGUGGGAUUAACAGUAUAUGCCACCACACCUGGUCCCACAGAGGCUUAGAAUCCCUCAAAAUCCAACCAUGAUGGUGCCCAUCAGACCACCUUAACUAUCUUUUAACCUUGGAUGCAAUCCCUAAAUCCUGGGGCAGACUCUGUAUGAAUGUUAGCUCCAAAAAAAAAAAAAAAAAAAAAAAAAAAAUGUGAUCCCUGUUUAUCUAAAAUUGGAAGCUAGCUGUCCCAAGGCUCUUUCUGUUAAUGUGACUGAGUGGCUUUGUUAGAAAACUUUGGACUUCUCUUACCCCAGUCAGAUAGUGCAUAUCAAAGAACAGAGCCUCCCUAGCUAUUGCUUUCCCCCAUCCCUGCUGCUUUUUAAAGCCUCCCCAUCAUUUGGUACAUGUGGAGCAACACACCUCAAGUUGCUCACCACUCUUCUUUCACCUCCAUAGAACUGGCUCUGCCUGCCAGCUUUCUUUCUAACCUUAUAUCCACGCAGAGGUAGGAAAUACUUUUGAAAGGACUGUGCUAUAUACAAACCCAUUCUUAGGCUGCCAAUGAGGAAGCAUCUAUCUGCUGCCCUUUCAGGGGUAGCAUUUAAACACCUGCAAAUUACGGUUCUCUUUUGAGAGAUCACCUAAAGUUAAAGAGCAGAAAGCCCGGGCUUGGAAGGUUUCUCUUUCUUGAUUUCGCUCCAGCUUCGCUGGCUUUUGCAAGCUUGCUGCCCUCGAGGUCUAGGCUUGCCAAAUUUUCUUCAUAAAAAUACCGGACCACCAGCAGGGUGAGGAAGGGAAUGGAGGAAGGGUGUUGCAAUGCUUAGCAAGGGAUCAGUCACCUAAUAUUUUCAGGAAAAUACUGAAUUAGUCGCAAACCCUCAUGCAAAUGCAUAAAUUAGCUUGUUCAGUUAGACUCAGUGGAAAAGGAACUCUUGCGUUUAAAAAGGAUUAGUUCAACUGGAGUUGUGGCUCAGCAGUUAAGAGCAGAGCGCUUGCUGCACUUGGGGAGGACCUGGCUGGGAGGAUCUGGGAUGCGCCAAGCCAUAUGGCAGCUCAGCAACAUCCAAGUCCACCUUCUGACCUCUGCAGGCACCAGGCACUCAUGCCGUGCACGCACAUACAUCCAUGCAAAACAGUCAGACACAUAUUUUAAAAAAAUAAGUAAAAGAGAAUCAUAGACUCUUUUAAAUCGUUUUUUCCCAUUGGGAGGGAAAAACUUAUCAGAGGAGGAAACACAUAAAAGCUGAAGUGUACUAACUAUUGGGAAUUGAUAUAAGGUGAAUUUAAAAUUUGUAAGCAUAGUUAUCACACUGAUGUUGUGGAUAUCAUAAACAGAUAAGUUACACAAAGACACGUGCACCAUUAAAAACUUUGAUUUCACUGUUUGAUACGGCUAUGCCUCUUCCUGGACCAGUCUUGCUUAGGUAGUACUAGAACUCAUGACUGCACCUGAGCAGGGCCAGCCCCUGACCACCCUCCAGCAGUGGUGAGCGUCCUGCCCCUCUCCUGUACUGACAUCAAGCAGAGCUGACCUGGACAGUCAUUCCAUACUGUAGAAAAUCCUCAUUCUUAUGAAAACUGAAGGCUGACUGUGUGCUGUCUAGACAAAAUUCAGAUGUUUAAAAGGUUUCCCUUUAUGUCUAAAAUAUUUUUUUAUUAUUUGAACUAUGUAAUUUUUUUCAAUAUUUAUCUUCACUUCAUAAGAACAGAUUUGAAAAGUAAGAAAAGUUGGCUUGGACAGAUAACCACUGGAGGUAUUUGAAGUUUUAUCAUUAUUAUUAUCAUUAUUACUAUUAUUGAUAUUUCUAUAUCUCAUUAAUGGCAAUAUCUCAGACCUGAUGCUAAAAUAGCAUCAUUUGUUAGUAAUAUCAUUUGUUCUGGUAUAGAUUUGGUAUUGUAGGAGUAGAAAAUGGUACCAGAUUAAACAGUUUCAAAUGCUCCAGCCAGAGAUGCUGACAUGUCGGUAAGAACGAGAGAAUGUUAACUACUUCCUGUCUGUCUGUCUGUUUGUUUCUUCUCCCCUGCACUCAGAACUAGCUGCCUUUACAAUGAUCCAGAAAUGUCUUCUAUGGAAAAGGAGUAAGAACUUGCCAUCAAUCACAGCUAUGUGCUUACAUGUAGUACUGUAUGGCUGGGUUCAAAGGACACUGAUGCAUCCAGGACUGGGUAAACUUGACCAGAUGUUCAGCUUUCAUGGGCUCUGAUCCUGAAAUAACAAAUUGACAGAGACAUUUGCCAGCUACUGUUGUCUUAGUGAUCGCCACAAAUGACAACCAAAGCUUUACCCGAUAUUCCACUGUUUCAAUCCAAAAAUGAGCAAAGGAAUUUUUGGGCCAGUUGUACGAACACUGGGGCAAGAGGAAGGCAAACUGGCUUUCAGAAUUACAUCAUCCACCAGUUAGAAAGCUAAACUUUCCAUGUGAAUUUAAUAUUUAGUGACUAGUGGGGAAAUAUCUUGGCUUUGCAAAUUCUAAGAGGCAGUUGAGCCUGCCUAGGACUUCUGAAAUUAUAUAGUUGGAUAUUGCUGUCCUGUAAAAAAUAGAAAUUGAACAUGCAUAGAGAUCUUAGCCUGUGUCAGACUCUGUAAGAAGUCAUACUCAGUAUUUGAUAUUCAUCCUAGAAUAAUCUUAUGAGGUACAUUUUACAGAAGAGAAAAAGGAACUUUAGAUAAAACAUGUGACUAGCCAAUGUUUUGCAGCCUUCAAGAGGGGUGGGGCAAGGUGGGGUUUGAAUCUUGACCUUGCAGAUUCCGUGUUGUUGGCUUUCAAAUCAGAGGGGUAGACUGUGAGGAAAUGGUUGCUGCUUCUCAUCUAACAAAGGACAGAAAUUGCUCACAUGAGAUUGGCCAUGUCUGUUGGGAUGUCCAGCAAGCAGAUCCUAAUUUGACUUGAAUUAGGAUUAUCCUUGUUGCCAGGGACCAAGAAAGACAACCAAAGAUCAACUUAAACUUAUUUCCAUUGUCACUGUCUCCUCUGGGUCCAACGAGAAGUUGGAAAAUCAACACGGUGCCUGCAGCUGCCUUGUUGACCUUACAGCUUAAAGGAACUUUAGGGAGAACAAAACACUGAGUCCCAACUUUCAAAAAGGAACAAAGGACAGGAUGAAUGUUGUACGGGGACAUUCUGAAUCAUGUAGCUUUUUCCUAAAGGUCACUCUUGUCCAAACUUUGACGAUGACAGCAUCAGUUGCUUUAAGCAAAGAUAUUUUUUUUUUUGCAAAGCAAACAUAUCUCAGCCCCUCAUUCUACCAUAAUCUAUCUUUCAAAUACAGGGCGUUCCUUCCCAUUGAGAAGCAAUGCCCCUUGAACACAAACAACACUCACAGUUCAGCUUUCUCCUCAUUGGCCUGUUGCUGCUACAUCUUGGGGCUUACCCACUCCUCUGCCUGCCUUGUUUGUCUGUUCUCUAUUGGUGAGAGGGAUUUUGGGUUGGUGUACAGGGUGAUGCAUCUAUUCCUGUGUGGGCUCCUUGCAGAGCUGGGUGGGAGGGAGGGAGCUGCCAACUGCUGAUGUUAUUUCCCAUUCUUAGGAGAACAUAUCCCCUACAAGUUUCCCUUUUCAUCCCUGUCUUUCCUGAGCACCUACCAGGCAUAUCAUCUCUCUAAGCAGCAGGAAGAGAUCCAAGGAACUAGAGUGGGCAAGAAUUCUCUCGCUUGACCUCCAGACCUGUAUUUCUUUGCUUGCUUGCAUGCUUGCCUUAGCUUUGUUAACCUUCUCUGGGCUUCUGGGGAGAUGGACGAAUCCCACCUACAUGGAAGCAUUUUACACCUGCAGCUGGGACUGAAUGGAUGAACUGCAAAUUGGGCAUAGGCCCUUUCAAGGGAGCUCUGUCCAGCUAAGAAUGAAGGGAGAUGUAAGGGUCCUGUCGUGGCCUCCCAUUCUCUACAGAUAGAAGGAACAUUCUGCCUGCCUCACCACUCCUCCUCCAUAAAACACAAGUGUUUUUAACUGCUAUUAAACAGGACUGCCACUUGUCUUGUAAGGAACCUCCUUUAGUGCAUGCAAGAAAUGAGACCAGCCUGUCACUGAACGGUAGGUCACUCUGCGCAGGGCCAAAUCAGUUGUGGUCAGUUAAGUUCAUCUUCCCAGGCAGGAGGAAUUCCCCACGUACUUUCAGUUCUGGUCAGAAGUGAUCUUCAGUGUCAUUCUUAAAAGGGACACUGAUAGGAAAUGACCUUCAGUGCUUUUUACCUUACUUUAGGGUUGGGUUUUAUUCAUCCAUACCACAAGGUUAAAGCAGGACUGUCUCUAUUUGUAAUGUAUUUUUUAAUGAGAUGGUCAAUUGUUCUAUGUGGUGAAAACGAAUGAGAAGCAUUAUCAGUGCCUUCAUUAACCCCACAAGGUAACUGUUGUCUUAAAAGCAAUCUGCAAAGUGGUUUCCUGUACCAGUUUAUCAGGAAGUUGUCCACAGUUGCUCUCUUUCUCUACUCUAGGUAAACAGGUUUUAGUCUUUCAGCUAUUUGGUUACC